rnacentral:rRNA from 1 species
AACGAACGCUGGCGGCAGGCUUAACACAUGCAAGUCGAACGAGAUCUUCGGAUCUAGUGGCAGACGGGUGAGGAACACGUGGGAACAUCCCUUUCAGUUCGGAAUAACGUUGGGAAACUAACGCUAAUACCGGAUACGUCCUUCGGGAGAAAGAUUUAUCGCUGAAAGAUUGGCCCGCGUCUGAUUAGCUAGUUGGUGAGGUAAUGGCUCACCAAGGCUACGAUCAGUAGCUGAUCUGAGAGGAUGAUCAGCCACAUUGGGACUGAGACACGGCCCAAACUCCUACGGGAGGCAGCAGUGGGGAAUAUUGGACAAUGGGCGCAAGCCUGAUCCAGCCAUGCCGCGUGAGUGAUGAAGGCCUUCGGGUUGUAAAGCUCUUUUAUCCGGGAAGAUAAUGACUGUACCGGAAGAAUAAGCCCCGGCAAACUUCGUGCCAGCAGCCGCCGUAA